rnacentral:rRNA from 1 species
UACGUAGGGACCAAGCGUUGUUCGGAUUUACUGGGCGUAAAGGGCGCGUAGGCGGCAAUUCAAGUCAUCUGUGAAAUCUCCGGGCUUAACCCGGAACGGUCAGGUGAUACUGUUUUGCUAGAGUGCGGAAGGGGCAAUCGGAAUUCUCGGUGUAGCGGUGAAAUGCGUAGAUAUCAGGAGGAACACCAAUUGCGAAGGCAGCUCGCUGGAACGUAACUGACGCUGAGACGCGAAAGCGUGGGGAGCAAACAGG